GCCCGAGUAGCUUAGUGGUAGAGCGUCACACUUGUAGACUUUCGAGCAACGACAUGUGAAGGUCACUAGUUCGAUCCUGGCCUUGGGCU